UUAAUAAACGCGCAUUAAAUGUUAGAAGAUGAUGUCGAAUCCUGAGGGUAGCGACAGUACUUGUCUUGAACACUCAAUACAGUAUAGACACCUUCAACAGAGCUUAGAACUUUGUACUCAUAUUCGUUAAUUCCCGUCACCGUGUGUGUUUCUAACACCUUCCCUGGUCUCUUCUUUCCUAAUGCUCUCCGAGCAUAAGAAAAUGAAAACGGAGGUGUUCCGGUAAAAUGAAAAGAUAUUUCCGCCUGAUCUCCCUCAUGUAUAUUUUCAAUAACAUCUUUUCCAUUGCUAAUUCGAACGGUUGGUAUGUCAUGGACUAUCUGCUCAAUUGGUGGAUUGAUGUAUGAUUUACAGUGGCUACCGUGGUCGGAUAUAGAUUUCAUCGCUACAACGCCAGGUAGCUCUAUGAGCCUUGUCAAAAUAUGACUAUCGCUGGUUGCAUGCUGCGUUACCCCAUUGAAUUCGUACUCCACAUCAAACGGAGGCAAACCUUGCAGAGCAAAAGAAAGUCGAUCUCCCACACAAUAGUACUGUCGAGAUCCCAGUGGAGCCAACGAAGCCAUCUCUACCACACUUACUUUGGCGGCUGGUUGUGUUUUGGUAAUGCUAGCGGCGCAGCCAUUGGCAUCUCUAACCUGUAGCAAGCGAACAACAUGCUUUCCAAGAGUCAGCUGCUCUUGGGGGAACGCAAACUUGUAUACCGAUUCAUGAAUGUCGUUCAAUGUAUACUUACUGACUGACCCCGUUAACUCAUUUUUAAUGCCAAUCACCAAAGAAAAUGGGCUGGCUCCUUGUAACUGGAUAGCUAUCAGCUGUGCAUUAGAUUGAGUGACAUCUGUAUUUAUGCAGAAUGUAUAAAGUUUUUCCACAUUCAUGAAAGAGGCCUUCGGCAAACUAUUAACACGCUGCAAAACAACAGCUUGAUAGGAUUGAUUAUUAACAAUAGUCACAGCAUCAGAAUCACUAUACAAUGAAUCAGAUAACUUAGUAAACUCGUAAUGAUACACGCCAGGAACCGCUGUGUCAGCUUUAACGAGAACAGUGUUUUGAACAGUGGACAAUUCUGACUUUUGUUUUGGAUACGUCUUGCUUUUUUCAUCUACAAGUAUCUUAUCGUGCUUCAAAAGAAAAGGACCCGACCCAGAUAAUUGAACCUCAAAAGCACUACUGUCCCCAGCACAGACAGCGUUUUGUUCGUAAUACCUCGUUUUUCCUUUAACCGAGCUUUCCAAAGAUGGUAUAGAAAGGAAAGGUCUUGGAAGCCAUUCAACUUGAUAUUUUUGCUCAACGUUUUGUAUGGUUCCAGGGCAGGAGCUAUCACUAACGGAUAAAAGAGUAUAGGUACCGGAUUUCCGGACAGUUAAAUAACUGUUUGGGUCAUUCAAAACUUCCUUGUGAUGAGAUACUUUAUUCAACCCCGAUGUGUGACUGUAUUCAACAUACCAUGGUUUUUCUCCAGCCAGCCUCAAAGGAAUUUUCAUCAAAGCUCCCUCAACUGAUUUUAGAGUGUAAGUGUUGUCAGAAGAAUAAAAGGUAGCAGUCGGUCGUUGUCUUCUAACCUUAAUAACCGUAUCCGCUGUAUUCAAAGAGCGCUUGCAUCCAUUAGAGUCUUUUACACUAACCAAAGUAAUUGUGUACUGAGAACCAUGCACGAGCAUAGGAACUUCAAGUAUAUAACGUGGAUCUUUAGACUCAACAACAUGACUCUCUUCUCGUUUGUUAUUACGGAAUAUUUCGUACUCUAGUGUCCAAGGCGCAGAACCAGUAAGAAGAACAGGUAGUGACAUUGUGUCCCCUAUACAAGAGGUUUUCACAACCGUGCUUAGAUCUCCGUUCCUUCGCUCUUCAAAACUUGCAUCGGCUAAGGGGAAAACGGUUUGGUCCUUAUAGAAACUUGAUCCUGAAAGUUCUCUGUAACCAUAAUUUGCAUCCUGUAUCCCAAGAAUGAUGUAUCGAUAUUUACCAGCCUUUUUAGGAGUAAAGUUCAACUGGUAACGAGUGCGGUCUGUUGUUACGUACUGUAUUCGUGAAGCCUCAUUGUCUUUUGUCAUGCGAUAAGCGAUCGUAAAUGGCGGUGUUCCCUCAAGUUCAAGGUCUGCUCGAGCGCCAAUUGAACCAGCACAUUGAUCAGAUAUUUCCUCAAAACUAACAGAUACUUUGGCUUCUGGCGGUGUAACUACUAAACAAGUGUUAGGCUCAAGGACUUCACCUGAACAGUAUUGACUUGAAACGCUGGAAAGAACGUAAAUUCCGGGCUUCUUAACAUUGAUGUUGGCUGAAGAUCUGGGAGAUAUUUGAUAAGUCUUAUGAGACAAAGGUGGUACUGUAAUGUUUUGAGGGUCGAGGCCUAAUUCAUAACGAUCAACGCCAACCUCCAGAGAAUUAUAUUCACUAAAAGAAGAAUAUAGAGACAAUGAUGUUUCUUUGUUAGGAAAAAGGUUUGCUGGUGAUUCAAUCGAGCAUCCACGAAACUGAAUAUCAGGUCUCUGAUGUACAAACACCGAAUACACAUUUUCCGGUAAAGAAUGGGAUUCCCCAUCUGCUUCCGUAUAACCGUGUGCAAAUCUCAGAAGAAAUUGAUCAUUUGAAGGAAAUUGCUGGGAAUUUCCGAGAGCAUCAGUGACCUGCGUUACUGCAUAUAUCCACUGACCAGGAGCUUUUAAUAAUGUGUUUAUCGGUACGAAUAUCUCAGAGCUUCGAGCCCACUGAAUAUCAAUCCCUUUGUAAAAAACAAUGUCCUUAGGAUUACUUGAUAAGACAACAGCAGGAGGAUGAAAAUCAUCAGGAAUAGUAGAAUCAAUUAUGUGUGUAUUAAAGUGUUUUCCGUCCCAGUUGCGAUAAGUAACUUGCAGUGGUGCAACACCUGUAACCUUCAAUUCAGCAUUGUCCGUGUCACCGACACACCUUUCACGUAAACGUCCACCGGAUUGACGGGAAGCGAAUGUUGCUGUAGGACAACUUACUACAACCGCUUCAGAACGAAAAAUUCGUACGUCUAAUUUAGAUUUGUCGACAACAUGCUUUAAUGUAUACAACCCUCGCUUGUUAGUUUUUAAAUAAAUAGUUUGUAAUCGAGGUUCUUUAGGGUUUUUUGAAGAAGACGACAAUAGUUUUCGUAAACUCCUUCCAGAAACUUCAACUAGCGUUUCUUCCUUCGUUUCCAAGUCCACGUGAGAAUAUUGAAUGUAUUUCGGUAUGGUGGAAUUGAAUUGAAUGGCCAAGUCUACGUACUGAUCUUUUCUUAAAGAAUUCAAACAAUAAUUUUCAUGCAAGGGAUUGAUUUUAGCAGUCCCUUCCGGAAGAACUUGAAGGGUGUAUUGACCUAAAAUUCGCGAUGAAUUAUGAAUGACAUUAUUUGGAUUAAUCUUAUGUUCUGAUAUAGAAAGUUCCUUUUUUUUAAAGUAGGGAAGAAGGAUACUGCCAAUAGAUAUCCAUUUUAAACUAGAAAGAGAGCUCAAAAGCAAAUUAAUAGCUGCAAAAAUAGCAAUUUGAAGUAAAGUCGCAGCUGGCUGAAAUGAAAGCCAAGGUAUACGAAAUUUUGGUA